rnacentral:rRNA from 1 species
GAAAAGAAACCAACAGGGAUUGCCCUAGUAACGGCGAGUGAAGCGGCAACAGCUCAAAUUUGAAAUCUGGCCCUAGCGGUCCGAGUUGUAAUUUGUAGAGGAUGCUUUUGGUUAGGUGCCUUCUGAGUUCCCUGGAACGGGACGCCAGAGAGGGUGAGAGCCCCGUACGGUUGGACACCGAGCCUCUAUAUAGCUCCUUCGACGAGUCGAGUAGUUUGGGAAUGCUGCUCUAAAUGGGAGGUAAAUUUCUUCUAAAGCUAAAUACCGGCCAGAGACCGAUAGCGCACAAGUAGAGUGAUCGAAAGAUGAAAAGUACUUUGAAAAGAGGGUUAAAUAGCACGUGAAAUUGUUGAAAGGGAAGCGUUUGCGACCAGACUUUUUCCAGGCGGAUCAUCCGGUGUUCUCACCGGUGCACUUCGCCUGGUUUAGGCCAGCAUCGGUUCUCUUAGGGGGAUAAAGGCCUGGGGAACGUAGCUCCUUCGGGAGUGUUAUAGCCCCUAGCGUAAUACCCUUCGGGGGACCGAGGAACGC